CAGCAGUGGGGAAUAUUGCACAAUGGGCGAAAGCCUGAUGCAGCCAUGCCGCGUGUGUGAAGAAGGCCUUCGGGUUGUAAAGCACUUUCAGUCGUGAGGAAGGGGUAUAGCUUAAUACGUUAUAUCUUUGACGUUAGCGACAGAAGAAGGACCGGCUAACUCCGUGCCAGCAGCCGCGGUAAUACGGAGGGUCCGAGCGUUAAUCGGAAUUACUGGGCGUAAAGCGUACGCAGGCGGCUUUUUAAGCCAGAUGUGAAAUCCCCGGGCUCAACCUGGGAAUGGCAUUUGGAACUGGAAAGCUAGAGUUUUGUAGAGGGUGGUAGAAUUUCAGGUGUAGCGGUGAAAUGCGUAGAGAUCUGAAGGAAUACCAGUGGCGAAGGCGGCCACCUGGACAAAAACUGACGCUCAUGUACGAAAGCGUGGGGAGCAAACAGGAUUAGAUACCCUGGUAGUCCACGCCGUAAACGAUGUCUACUAGUUGUCUGUGAGUUUAACUCGUGGGUAACGCAGCUAACGCAUUAAGUAGACCGCCUGGGGAGUACGGCCGCAAGGUUAAAACUCAAAUGAAUUGACGGGGGCCCGCACAAGCGGUGGAGCAUGUGGUUUAAUUCGAUGCAACGCGAAGAACCUUACCUGCCCUUGACAUACUAAGAACUUACUAGAGAUAGUUU
rnacentral:rRNA from 1 species